rnacentral:rRNA from 1 species
AACGAACGUUGGCGGCGUGGAUCAGGCAUGCAAGUCGCACGAAUCCCAGCUGGGUAACUGGCUGGGGAAAGUGGCGAAAGGGGCAGUAAGGCGUGGGUAACUUGCCCCGGAGUUCGGAAUAGCCUCUCUAACGAGAGGGUAAUACCGAAUGCCCUGGCGGGGGGGCCUCCCCCUGGCAGGAAAGCUAAGGCGCUCCGGGAGGGGCCCACGUGGUAUUAGCUAGUUGGUGGGGUGACGGCCCACCAAGGCCAAGAUGCCUAGCAGGUGUGAGAGCACGACCUGCGCCACUGGCACUGGGACACUGGCCAGACUCCUACGGGAGGCUGCAGUCGAGGAUCUUCGGCAAUGGGCGCAAGCCUGACCGAGCGACGCCGCGUGGGCGAUGAAGGCCUUCGGGUUGUAAAGCCCUGUCGGGGGGGAGAAAGGCGCGCGAGCGCUUGAUCGACCCCCGGAGGAAGCACGGCUAAGUUCGUGCCAGCAGCCGCGGUAAUAC